rnacentral:rRNA from 1 species
AUUGAACGCUGGCGGCAGGCCUAACACAUGCAAGUCGAACGAGUGGCGGACGGGUGAGUAAUGUCUGGGAAACUGCCUGAUGGAGGGGGAUAACUACUGGACACGGUAGCUAAUACCGCCUACCAUCGGAUGUGCCCAGAUGGGCUUAGCUAGUAGGUGGGGUAAAGGCUCACCUAGGCGACGAUCCCUAGCUGGUCUGAGAGGAGGACCAGCCACAAUUGAACUGAGAAACUGUCCAGACUCCGACGGGAGGCAGCAGUGGGGAAUAGUGCACAAUGGGCGCAAGCCUGAUGCAGCAAUGCCGCGUGUAUGAAGAAGGCCUUCGGGUUGUAAAGUACUUUCAGCGGGGAGGCGUUACCCGCAGAAGAAGCACCGGCUAACUCCGUGCCAGCAGCCGCGGUAAUAC